GCCUGUGUAGCUCAGUGGCAGAGCAACUGAUUCGUAAUCAGUAGGUCGAGAGUUCAAGUCUCUCCACAGGCU
rnacentral:tRNA from 1 species